rnacentral:rRNA from 1 species
UACGUAGGGUGCGAGCGUUGUCCGGAAUUAUUGGGCGUAAAGAGCUUGUAGGCGGUCUGUCGCGUCUGCUGUGAAAAUCCGGGGCUCAACCCCGGACUUGCAGUGGGUACGGGCAGACUAGAGUGCGGGAUGGGAGAGUAGAAUUCCUGGUGUAGCGGUGAAAUGCGUAGAUAUCAGGAGGAAUACCGGUGGUGUAGACGGCUCUCUGGACCGCCACUGACGCUGAGACACGAAAGCGUGGGUAGCAAACAGG